UUUUUUUUUUAAAGAAAAAAAAAAUAAAAAAAUUAAGAAAUUUCAAAAUUUGAAAACAAAAACCAAAAGAGCAUCCCAUUUUCUCACUUUUCUUCCCCGACCUUCCCCCCAAAUUUUCCCUCCCUCUCUCCAUCUACCCAAAAUCUUCCCACCGUCGACCACCGUUCGGAGCCCAGCACCGUCGUUCUUCCGGUUCCGGCGACUAGUUUCGCACGAGCCCGCCACCGUUCCGAGAUCGGUCGUUCUUCCGGUUCCGACGAGGUGUUUCGCACGAGCCCGCCACUGUUCCGAGCUCCGUCAUUCUUCCGGUUCCGACGAGGUGUAUCGCACGAGCCCGCCACGCACGAGCCCGCCACCGUUCGGAGCUCUGUCGUUCUUCCAGUUCCGGCUUUCCCCCAAAUACGUCAGUACCUGACAAAGAAUGGAAUAUAUGAUUUUUGGAACUGGUUUGACGAUCGCACCUGAUAGUUUUCCCGUUUUGAAGGGUUGGCUAAUUCUUUGGCGGCUCAUUUUCUUCUCAGAAAGAGGAGGAAGAGGAUGAGGAAGUUAUCAAACAUAGGCCCUAAGGGGGCGUUUUGGUGCACGGAGCUUGGGCAGGGGAAGCAAUCAGGAUAGUAGGGUCAACAAGUUGACUAGCUUAUUGCAUACAUGUGGAUAAUCUUCAGUCUGUUCUAGAUUUAUUUUAUCACAAUGAGGAUUGACAUUGGGUUGAUCAUUGUGUUGUGGAUGUGUCUCAAUAAGUUGAACCAGAGAUGUUGUUGUUAUUGCAAACUGCAUUGCUGCCAUGGGUUUGGUUUCACGGUCAGGGAGAUCUAAAGGAGACAGCCAUGACAACACAUUCACAGCCAGAGGCAUCUAGUGGUUCAGAUCGUGAACAAACCAACUCUUGUGGAUUUUUGAUAGAAUAACUAAUUGAUGCAAUGCUUCUCAAGGGCUCAUCUUAUUUUCCUUUGUAGAUCUUUUUUUUUUUUUUUUUUUCCACAAAAUGUAGAUAUGUAGCUGUAGCUUUACCUUUUUUAAUUUGUUACUGAUGGAAAAUCCCAACAUUUGUUCUCGUUUGGGCACCAGUUGUACUAGUCCUUGAUUGGAAUUUGGAUGAAAAUUGGAUUUUGUUUUGGCAACAAAUCUUUCUUGUUCUCAUGUAUAACAAUGAAUUUUGUUUUGGC